GUGUUCUAUAUGUUCUAUGUGUUCUGUAUGUUCUAUAGGUUUUAUGUGUUCUGUAUGUUCUAUAAGUUCUGUAUGUUCUACAUGUUCUAUGUGUUCUGUAUGUUCUAUAGGUUUUAUGUGUUCUGUAUGUUCUAUAGGUUUUAUGUGUUCUGUAUGUUUUAUAAGUUCUGUAUGUUCUACAUGUUCUAUGUGUUCUGUAUGUUCUAGGUCAGUAGUCUUUGGCCAAACUUACUGUGCACUUCCCGUAUCGGCUGUACUUGCGUCCUCUCUCGGAGACGGUGUAGAGGUAAAUAAAGUUAUCAUGAGAUCCAACAGCCAACAGACUGCCAUCUGCA